rnacentral:rRNA from 1 species
UGCAAGUCGAACGAACUCUGGUAUUGAUUGGUGCUUGCAUCAUGAUUUACAUUUGAGUGAGUGGCGAACUGGUGAGUAACACGUGGGAAACCUGCCCAGAAGCGGGGGAUAACACCUGGAAACAGAUGCUAAUACCGCAUAACAACUUGGACCGCAUGGUCCGAGUUUGAAAGAUGGCUUCGGCUAUCACUUUUGGAUGGUCCCGCGGCGUAUUAGCUAGAUGGUGGGGUAACGGCUCACCAUGGCAAUGAUACGUAGCCGACCUGAGAGGGUAAUCGGCCACAUUGGGACUGAGACACGGCCCAAACUCCUACGGGAGGCAGCAGUAGGGAAUCUUCCACAAUGGACGAAAGUCUGAUGGAGCAACGCCGCGUGAGUGAAGAAGGGUUUCGGCUCGUAAAACUCUGUUGUUAAAGAAGAACAUAUCUGAGAGUAACUGUUCAGGUAUUGACGGUAUUUAACCAGAAAGCCACGGCUAACUACGUGCCAGCAGCCGCGGUAAUACGUAGGUGGCAAGCGUUGUCCGGAUUUAUUGGGCGUAAAGCGAGCGCAGGCGGUUUUUUAAGUCUGAUGUGAAAGCCUUCGGCUCAACCGAAGAAGUGCAUCGGAAACUGGGAAACUUGAGUGCAGAAGAGGACAGUGGAACUCCAUGUGUAGCGGUGAAAUGCGUAGAUAUAUGGAAGAACACCAGUGGCGAAGGCGGCUGUCUGGCUGUAACUGACGCUGAGGCUCGAAA